rnacentral:rRNA from 1 species
GGGGAAUCUUCCGCAAUGGACGAAAGUCUGACGGAGCAACGCCGCGUGAGUGAUGACGGCCUUCGGGUUGUAAAGCUCUGUUAAUCGGGACGAAUGGUUCUUGUGCGAAUAGUGCGAGGAUUUGACGGUACCGGAAUAGAAAGCCACGGCUAACUACGUGCCAGCAGCCGCGGUAAUACGUAGGUGGCAAGCGUUGUCCGGAAUUAUUGGGCGUAAAGCGCGCGCAGGCGGAUUGGUCAGUCCGUCUUAAAAGUUCGGGGCUUAACCCCGUAAUGGGAUGGAAACUGCCAAUCUAGAGUAUCGGAGAGGAAAGUGGAAUUCCUAGUGUAGCGGUGAAAUGCGUAGAUAUUAGGAAGAACACCAGUGGCGAAGGCGACUUUCUGGACGAAAACUGACGCUGAGGCGCGAAAGCCAGGGGAGCGAACGGGAUUAGAUACCCCGGUAGUCCUGGCCGUAAACGAUGGGUACUAGGUGUAGGAGGUAUCGACCCCUUCUGUGCCGGAGUUAACGCAAUAAGUACCCCGCCUGGGGAGUACGACCGCAAGGUUG